CUCUCACCAAUCCGGGGCGCACGCGGUCGUCUGACAUCAUCUUUAUUCGGUCCAAUCAGGCCAGUAGACCGGGACAUUUCGCCUCAAACCCUCCACUUCCAUCUCUCUAAAAUCUCAGCUGUUUAAUCCCGUUAAUGACGGACUUUAAAAGCGGAGGGAGAACAAGAAAAUCAAGAUAGGUGAUGCAAUUGCAUGUGAGAGCAGACUCCUUAUGAGCGCAUCGAGUGCAACGGAAAGGCGCAAAGAAUACAGGUUAAUGGCGCUUUUGAGAAAAUGUGAAACAAACUGCAGCAUUUGGAGCUCAACGGGUUGUUUGCGCAGUUUUUGAAAUAGAAAAUGUGAGUAGUAUCGGCCUCAGGCUUAAAAUGGCCUUUAUGUUCGGAUCAAAGCACAUCCUUAUGCAAUAAAUUAAACCUUUGCCUCUGAAUUAUUAUCAGUAAUUGGCUGAGUAGGGAUCAAUUAGUGAUCUGACGUCAGAUUCGGGCUAUUUCCAUUGUUUAAAAAUACAUAAAAAGACAA